rnacentral:ribozyme from 1 species
AAAAGAAACAGAAAAGCUUCAUCUUAAAAAUGAAAAAAAAAACAAUAGAGGAAAGAAUUUUUUCUCUCACUCUUUUUUUUUUUUUUUUUUUUUCC